ACUCAAAGGAAUAGACGGGGGCUCACACAAGCGGUGGAGCAUGUGGCUCAAUUCGAAGCAACGCGAAGAACCUUAUCCUGGGCUUGACAUGUAUGGAUUAGGUGGUGGAAACAUCACUGAGGCCCUCUGGGUACAACAUACACAGGUGCUGCAUGGCUGUCGUCAGCUCGUGCUGUGAAGUGUCGGGUUAAGUCCCUUAACGAGCGAAACCCCUAUCGUUAGUUGCUACCAGGUAAAGCUGAGGACUCUAACGAGACUGCCGGUGUCAAACCGGAGGAAGGUGGGGAUGACGUCAAGUCCUCAUGGCCUUUAUGCCCAGGGCUGCACACGUGCUACAAUGGCGUCGACAAAGCGAAGCGAGACCGCAAGGUGGAGCAAAUCGCAAAAACGACGCCCCAGUUCAGAUUGAGGUCUGCAACCCGACCUCAUGAAGUCGGAAUCGCUAGUAAUCGGGGAUCAGCUACGCCCCGGUGAAUAUGUUCCUGAGCCUUGCACACACCGCCCGU
rnacentral:rRNA from 1 species